GCCGACGAGCUGACGGCGGAGGAGGUAUCCGAGUGCCGAGCCUGGGUGCAAGAAUAUCUGCGUCGUGACGCCGCAGAGGACGCCUCCGGCGCUUCCACCAGUCCGCAGUCCACCGUCAUCGACGUGACGGGAUCGGGGUCGGAGGCGCCAGCGGUGCCGCCAGCUCAGAUCCCGUCCGACCCGCGCAAGGUGCGCCUCUGCUUCUCCAUGCUCCGCGCCGCCUACUGCGAGCGCGAUGGCCCGGACACCCAGGACGGCCUCGCCGCGCCCAAGCCGCUGCAGACCAAGGUGGCGUCGCAGGUCGAGCACUUCCGGGAGAUCAUCAGGCAGCGCGACAGCGAAAUCUGUAACCUUUUGGCGGCUGAGCAGAAGUCGGUGGUAGUGGGGCCCCCUGGGCCCCCUUCCGGGCCCGGAGAGGUCGGGGGCGGGCAGGCGGCGGGGGACGCGGGCAGGCCAGCCUCGCUCCGGGGGUUUUACGUGCAAUUGUAGUGCCGGCCGUCGUGGCGAUCCUCGUGGCCUUCUACACCACGCUCACCGCCACGCUUGUCCUAGUGUUCCUCGAGCCCCCCUAGCUGGCGCAGCUGGCGUGAGGAUCGGGUGUCGCCAUGGUGCCGUCACUCUUCGCAGAGCGCUCUUUCCAGGGCCCGCAAAAUUUUGUAACAAUUGAAAAAGAAAACAUACAUGGAAAUAAAUUAAUGCUCAGCAA